rnacentral:misc_RNA from 1 species
GAUGAAGAACGUAGCGAAAUGCGAUAAGUAAUGUGAAUUGCAGAAUUCCGUGAAUCAUCGAAUUUUUGAACGCAUAUUGCGCCCUCUGGUAUUCCGGAGGGCAUGCCUGUCCGAGCGUCAUUUCAACCCUCGAACCCCUCCGGGGGGUCGGCGUUGGGGAUCGGCCCUUUACGGGGCCGGCCCCGAAAUACAGUGGCGGUCUCGCCGCAGCCUCUCCUGCGCAGUAGUUUGCACACUCGCAGCGGGAGCGCGGCGCGUCCACAGCCGUUAAACACCCCAAACUUCUGAAAUGUUGACCUCGGAUCAGGUAGGAAUACCCGCUGAACUUAAGCAUAUCAAUAAGCGGAGGA